GCUGUUGAAGCACGGGUAUCCAUUCCCAACGCAAGUCUUUAAGUGCUUUAAACAAUAUUAAAGACGUAUAUUACUAUUCUCUUUUUUUAACAAGAGGAGAUGAAACAAAACAUCACAACCCACAUAUAACCAUUCCUCAAGUAGGCAAAUGACCACACAGGAAAAAUGAAAGAGUUAAAAAAAAUGAAGGUAAAUGCACAGCAACACCCAAAGAUAGUACAUCAAGGAAAGACGAUGAUGAAGCUUAAGUUGAAAGGAAUAGAGAACAAAGACCAGACCAGAACUAAGUUUUAGGCUUACCUUUCCACGAAGAGAUCGACGGUGAUGUUGGGUCCUCUCAACUCCGGCGCGUUUGAUUCUCCGACGGCAUUCAAAUGGAAUCUCAUGUCUUCUUUGCGGAAAAAUAGCGCCAAGGCUAGUUAGGGUUUGGGGAUCAAAAGAGGUCUCUGCCAAGGCCUUUCUGUGCUCAGAAAUUGGAGUGGUCUUUUUGGUGUAUGGUUCGAAAAAAGUGAAAUUGGCUUGGUUUGAUUUCAAAAUCUGAAGGAUGGUUAAUUGAUUCUUGGAGCUGCCACAGUU